GACGAACGCUGGCGGCGUGCUUAACACAUGCAAGUCGAACGAUGAAGAAGAGCUUGCUCUUCGGAUUAGUGGCGAACGGGUGAGUAACACGUGACUAACCUGCCCCUUUCUCUGGGAUAACGCUCCGAAAGGAGUGCUAAUACCGGAUACUCACAUCGAGGCACAUGCCUUGAUGUGGAAAGUUUUUCGGAAAGGGAUGGAGUCGCGGCCUAUCAGCUUGUUGGUGAGGUAACGGCUCACCAAGGCGACGACGGGUAGCCGGCCUGAGAGGGGGACCGGCCAAACUGGGACUGAGACACGGGCCAGACUCCUACGGGAGGCAGCAGGUGGGAAUAUUGCACCAUGGGCGAAAGCCUGAUGCAGCGACGCCGCGUGAGGGAUGAAGGUCUUCGGAUUGUAAACCUCUUUCAGUAGGGACGAAGCGAAAGUGACGGUACCUAAAGAAGAAGCACCGGCUAACUACGUGCCAGCCGCCGCGGUAA
rnacentral:rRNA from 1 species